GAUGUCAAAAUCCGGGACCCGACUUCAACCCCUUAGUGACCACCCAUACGCCUUUUUACGGUGGUCGCUAAGGGGCCUUAGGCUGGGCCGACGCUUUUUUAUGGUGGCCCAGUCUAAGUGCUGCACAGGUCCCCCGUGCAGCAGGGAGCGGGGGCCCGGCUCCCACAU